UACGGGGGGGGCAAGCGUUGUUCGGAAUUACUGGGCGUAAAGGGCUCGUAGGUGGCCAACUAAGUCAGACGUGAAAUCCCUCGGCUUAACCGGGGAACUGCGUCUGAUACUGGAUGGCUAGAGAUUGGGAGAGGGAUGCGGAAUUCCAGGUGUAGCGGUGAAAUGCGUAGAUAUCUGGAGGAACACCGGUGGCGAAGGCGGCAUCCUGGACCGACACUGACGCUGAGGCGCGAAAGCUAGGGGAGCAAACGGG
rnacentral:rRNA from 1 species